rnacentral:rRNA from 1 species
CAUGCAAGGUCGAACGGGUAACAGGGUUAAGCUGACGAGUGGCGAACGGGUGAGNAAUGCAUCGGAACGUGCCCGGUCGUGGGGGAUAACGCAGCGAAAGCUGCGCUAAUACCGCAUACGAUCUGAGGAUGAAAGCGGGGGACCGUAAGGCCUCGCGCGAUCGGAGCGGCCGAUGUCAGAUUAGGUAGUUGGUGGGGUAAAGGCUCACCAAGCCGACGAUCUGUAGCUGGUCUGAGAGGACGACCAGCCACACUGGGACUGAGACACGGCCCAGACUCCUACGGGAGGCAGCAGUGGGGAAUUUUGGACAAUGGGCGCAAGCCUGAUCCAGCAAUGCCGCGUGCAGGAAGAAGGCCUUCGGGUUGUAAACUGCUUUUGUACGGAGCGAAAAGGCUCUCUCUAAUACAGGGGGUUCAUGACGGUACCGUAAGAAUAAGCACCGGCUAACUACGUGCCAGCAGCCGCGGUAAUACNUANGGUGCAAGCGUUAAUCGGAAUUACUGGGCGUAAAGCGUGCGCANGCNGUUUUGUAANACAGGCNUGAAAUCCCCNGGCUCAACCUGNGAAUGGCNCUUGUGACUGCNNNGCUGGANUGCNGCNNANGGGGAUGGAAUUCC